rnacentral:rRNA from 1 species
AACGAACGCUGGCGGCAGGCCUAACACAUGCAAGUCGAGCGAAGCCUUCGGGCUUAGCGGCGGACGGGUGAGUAACGCGUGGAACGUGCCCUUUGGUACGGAAUAGCCCCGGGAAACUGGGAGUAAUACCGUAUGUGGUCGAGAGACGAAAGAUUUAUCGCCAAAGGAUCGGCCCGCGUUGGAUUAGGUAGUUGGUGGGGUAAUGGCCUACCAAGCCGACGAUCCAUAGCUGGUUUGAGAGGAUGAUCAGCCACACUGGGACUGAGACACGGCCCAGACUCCUACGGGAGGCAGCAGUGGGGAAUCUUAGACAAUGGGUGAAACCCUGAUCUAGCCAUGCCGCGUGAUCGAUGAAGGCCUUAGGGUUGUAAAGAUCUUUCAGUGGGGAAGAUAAUGACUGUACCCACAGAAGAAGCCCCGGCUAACUCCGUGCCAGCCGCCGCAGUAACAC